rfam:Tupaia chinensis contig185465, whole genome shotgun sequence.
AAAAAGGAUUUUUUAAAAUCCAAUUUUAGGAGCUAGCAGGUGGCGU